rnacentral:rRNA from 1 species
GAUUCCCCCAGUAACUGCGAGUGAAGAGGGAAGAGCUCAUCAUUGGAAUCUGGCAGUGUUGCACUGUCCGAGUUGUAGAUGAGGAGUAGUCCGUCUGGACUGCAUGGCGUCCAAGUACAAUAGGCCGUCAGUGGGACAUCAUAGAGGGUGACAAUCCCGUCCUUGACGCCAAUGUGCAAGUCUAUUACGAUGGCUAUCUCAGAGAGUCGAGCAGUUUGGGAUUUGCUGCUUAAACAUGGGAGGUAGAUUCCUUCUAAAGCUAAAUACAGGCGAGAGACCGAUAGAGAACAAGUACCGCAAGGGAAAGAUGAAAUAGCACUCUGUGAAGGGAGUCAAAAGGCGUGAAAUUGUUGCGAGAGAAGCGAUUCAAGUCAGCGUAGCUAGGCCCAUCAAGCGUCUUCGCUUUGGACUAGCUUUGCCAGCGGUCUUGUCCCUUGAAGAGACUUGACUUGUAAUAUGUCCAGCCUGGCGUGCACAGGCAGCCCCUUCUGGGGGCCAGUGGCAUGGCUGGUGGAAUGGCUUGCAAUCGACCCGUCUUGAAACACGGACCAAGGAGUCUAACAUGUAUGCGAGUAUAAGGGUGGCAAACCCGUAUGCGCAAUGAAAGUGAUUUUCGGUGAUUGAGAAUGGCCUGAUGACCAGACAAGCAAUAUAUGUCCCUCGUACGGCCAUUGCCCAAGUUCCGUGGUAGAUCCCACGAACAUGGAGUUGGAGCAUACAUGCUAGGACCCGAAAGAUGGUGAACUAUGCCUGGACAAAGCGAAGCCAAAGGAAACUCUGGUGGAGGCUUGUAGCGAUUCUGACGUGCAAAUCGAUCGUCUGAUCU